rnacentral:lncRNA from 10 species
GUGGAAUGACACAGCGUUUGUAGGGACCUCAGGCGGGUGGAAUGACACAGUGUUUGUAGGGACCUCAGGCAGGUGGAAUGACAUAGUGUUUGUAGGGACCUCAGGCAGGCGGAAUGACACAGUGUAGGGACCUCAGGCGGGUGGAAUGACACAGUGUAGGGACCUCACGCAGGUGGAAUGACACAGUGUUUGUAGGGACCUCAGUCGGGUGGAAUGACAGUGUUUGUAGGGACCUCAGGCGGGUGGAAUGACAGUGUUUGUAGGGACCUCACGCAGGUGGAAUGACACAACGUUUGUAGGGACCUCAGGCGGGUGGAAUGACACAGCGUUUGUAGGGACCUCAGGUGGGUGGAAUGACACAGUGUAGGGACCUCAGGUGGGUGGAAUGACACAGUGUAGGGACCUCACGUGGGUGGAAUGACACAGUGUAGGGACCUCAGGCGGGUGGAAUGACACAGUGUUUGUAGGGACCUCACACGGGUGGAAUGACACAGUGUUUGCAGGGACCUCACGUGGGUGGAAUGACACAGUGUAGGGACCUCAGGCGGGUGGAAUGACACAGUGUAGGGACCUCAG